GACGAACCGUGCGAACGUUGUUCGGAAUCACUGGGCUUAAAGGGCGCGUAGGCGGGCUGUCAAGUCUGGGGUGAAAUGCCGCGGCUCAACCGUGGAACUGCCUUAGAUACUGACGGCCUCGAGGGAGGUAGGGGCGUGCAGAACUGUAGGUGGAGCGGUGAAAUGCGUUGAUAUCUACAGGAACUCCGGUGGCGAAAGCGGC
rnacentral:rRNA from 1 species